rnacentral:rRNA from 1 species
AUCCUACGGGAGGCAGCAGUGGGGAAUAUUGCACAAUGGGCGCAAGCCUGAUGCAGCCAUGCCGCGUGUAUGAAGAAGGCCUUCGGGUUGUAAAGUACUUUCAGCAGUGAGGAAGGUGGAUAUGUUAAUAGCAUAUUCAUUUGACGUUAGCUGCAGAAGAAGCACCGGCUAACUCCGUGCCAGCAGCCGNGGUAAUACGGAGGGUGCGAGCGUUAAUCGGAAUUACUGGGCGUAAAGCGCAUGCAGGUGGUUUGUUAAGUCAGAUGUGAAAGCCCGGGGCUCAACCUCGGAAUUGCAUUUGAAACUGGCAAACUAGAGUACUGUAGAGGGGGGUAGAAUUUCAGGUGUAGCGGUGAAAUGCGUAGAGAUCUGAAGGAAUACCGGUGGCGAAGGCGGCCCCCUGGACAGAUACUGACACUCAGAUGCGAAAGCGUGGGGAGCAAACAGGAUUAGAUACCCUGGUAGCGUAG